AAUAAGAACCAAGAUAUGUCAUGUACAGGUACAAGCACCCAAUGAUAAAUGUAAACGUACUGUAUACCUAAAAUGUACCAAUAAAAGAAUUUAAGGGGGGAAAAAAAAAAAAGCACACAGAGCUGGCCCACGGACCAGAGGGCAAGGAGGACACACAAAGGAGCCUCAGCUCCAGUCCUGGAGGUCUUUCCGAGAGCCCAGGGAACAACUAGGAACCAAAUUUGUCCCCAACACAAAAGCUUCACACUGCUGCCCCCAUACCCUCCAAAGUGCCCCUGUCCCCGUCUUUCUCUCAUGUCUGAUUAUAUGGGGGCUGGCUUUGAUUAAUUGAUUUGCCCUUAAUAUCUCUCUUUAGCACUUUAUAGCUUCCAACUUUCCCCAAAUUGGGACAAAUGAUCUUUGAAGGAAUAGAAUAUGUCUGGAUUUCUAUUGAGAGUUGGUUCCAUCAGUAUUUUAUUUUAUUUAUUUUAGGGGGGGGUACCGGGGAUCGAACUUGGGACCUUGUGCUUGCAUGGCAGGCGCUGGAACCACUGAGCCAAAUCCCCGGCACUCCAUCAGUAUUUUAAACAAUCCAAGGCCCACUGAGCAGCUCUUUUGCAGCAGUAUUGUACAGGUUUUUAGUUUUAUUUAUUUAAAGGGAAUUCCCUUUAUUCUUAAAAUGGGUUAUCUAACAUUCUUAAUAUGGGUUAUCUUUCUGGUUGCUUGGUUGGUUGGUUUGCCUCUUGACUGAAAAAAGGUGUCUUUAACGUGAGAAUGUGCUACUUUAUACCGCAGUAACAUACAAUUUAAAAACUCUCAGUGUUUAAGGCAAGAAGUUGUCUGGGUGCCAAGAGGCUCUGCUCUGCCUUUCCCCUGGACCCAGGCUGAUGAAGGAGGCUCUCUGGAACCGUGUUGGCCAUUGGCAAAGGAGAGAAGACUCUUUAGAGAGCCCACACCAGCAAUUAGAAGUUCACUGCAGAAGUAAUGUGUGUCACUUCCGCCCAGCCAGAAUGAGUCACAUGACCGCAGGGGCAGGAAGUGGGUUCUCACCUCAGGUCUCAGCGUGCUGAAGCCGGAACAGGACUGGUGAGGAUGACAAAUGUCCGAGUAGAGACCAAUGGCAAAAUAUGGAUUCUCCAGGACACUUAGAAAGCAACUUAGCAAAGGGAAAAAGAAGUAGAGGUCCAGGAAUCAAGAACGAGCCCACAGGAAAGACUAGAACUACAUAGUGAGAUCCUGUCUCAAAAAAAAAAAAAAAGAAAGAAAGAAAGAAGCAGCUUGGAACACUAACUCUGGCUCUCAGGGAAGGGAACCUAUGUGGAAUGAUACAAGCCCCUAGAAGGUUGGACACUAAGAAGACCUCCAAAUAUUAUGCUAAGAAGACUUUCAAAUAUUUGGGGUACCAACACCAAAUGCAAGGACACAUCAGAGGACAUCAAACUGAACUAAUGAGAUCUCCACGGUAGGGCCAGAGUUUCUCUACCCCAACUGAUCUUCAACUAACAGUCCAAAAACAAUAGAAACACAAGAAAACAAGGCAGGAAGAUGUCCCCCCAAAUCCCUUACUUCCCAAAAGCUGAUUUUAUGGACACUGAAGUAGGAGAAAUCAAGGCAAAGAACUGAAAGACCAAAUGGUUAAAAUAUUUGAAGAAGGGCCAGGGAUUUAGCUCAGUGGUGCUGCACCUGCCUUGAAAGUGCAAGGUCCUGAGUUUGAUCCCCAGUACUAGAAGAAAAAAAAAAUUUUGAAGAGAUAAAAGAAGAAGCAUAUAAGCAAAUGCAUAAGAUGUUCCAUAAGUUCAAAGAGGAUUUAAACAGGUCAAGGAUUUUACCAAUAAAGUGUUAAAUGAGGUUAAAGAAGAAACAAACAAUAGGGCUGGGGAUUCAGCUCAGGGGUGCUGCAGCCAACUCGAAAGUACAAGGUCCUGAGUUCAAUCCCUGGUACUGGAAAAAAAAAAGAAGAAGAAAAAGAAGAAGAAACAAACAACAAACCAACUGAAUUAAGCAAGACAAUGUAAAAUAUGAAUGGCUACUUGGGAAGAGUUAGAAAGUAUGCAAAGAAAGUAAGCAGAGGUCGAUGAUAUGAAAAAUUCAGUGGAAAGCAUGAGUAGCAGACUUGACCAAUGUGAGGACAGUGUCAGAAACAGGAGAUAAAGUGGAUGUAGUAGAUCAUAAAUCCAGUGGUACCCUAAAAAUCACAAGACACCAGGCAGGUUGGAUCCAAAGGAAAAAAACCAACCUCAGAACUGUAGAAAUAAAGAAAAAAUUAGAAGAUGACUGAAAGGAUAUAAAAAAUUAAUUCAGUAAAAUCAUAGCUGAAAAAUUUUCAAAUGUAGGGAAAGGAGUCACUAUUCAAGUAGGAGAGGCAUAUAAAACCCCAAAUAGACAUAACCAGAAAACAGCCUCUUUGCAACACAUAAUCAAAAUUCCAGAAAUUCAACAAAAGGAGUGAAUGUAAAAGCUGUUAGAGAAAAACAGCAAGUAUCUUAUAAGGGGAAGCCCAUCAGAGUAACUGAAUUUCUCAGCCCAAACCUUAAAGGCCAAGAAAGCCUGGAGCAAAGUUUUCAAGCCCUAAAAGAUAACAGUUGUUGCUAGGUGUGGUUGUGCACAUCUGUAAUCCUAGCACUCGGUAGGCUGAGGCAGAAGGAUCACUGUGAGUUCAAGGCCUGCCUAGACUACAUAGUAAAACCCUGUCUAAAAAAAAAAAGAGUUAAAAUGUGUUAUGUACAUAUGUAGGAACUCAGCACAAAAGAUUAUGUACUACAAACAUGUACUAAUAAAAAAAAUUGACAGAACUAAAGAUUUUCCAUGACAAACCCUAAAUAAUUACAUGACCACUAAACCAGCAUUGCAGAAAAUGCUUAAAGGGAUCCUAGACAGAAACAGGGACGCCACCAGCACCAAAGCACCCAAAGGAAAAUACACAUUUGACAGGGAGAGGAGUUAGACAAAAGGAAAAAUAAAGGAAUCAGCACUGGAAAAAUAAUGCAAUGGUAGGAUUCAAUAACCACUUACAAUAAUACUGCUCCAUGUCAGUGGCCUCAACUUCCUAAUCAAAAGACACAAAAUGGCAGAUUGGCUAAAAGUGCAAUAAAAAAUUGCCUACAGGGACCAGGGAUUUAGCUCAGAGGCUCUGGUGCCUGCCUCACAAGGGUAAGGUCCCAAGUUCGAACCCCAGUGCCCAAAACAAAACAAAACAACAACAACAAAAUUGCCCACAGUAGGCCAUCCAAAAGGAAAGGCAUAGUCUGAAAUUGAAAGAUGGAAAAUGAUUCUCCCAUCCAACUGCAGGAUUAGAUAUUUUAUUUUCAGACACAGCAGUCUUUAAGCCAAAACUAAUCAGAGUAGACAAAGAUGGCUAUUUCAUACUGGUCAAAGGAACAAUUCAAUAGAACUGUAAAUAAUUAUGGACCAAAUGUCAGUGAACUCAGUUUCUUUUAUUUUUUGAGACAAGAUCUUGCUGUGUAAGUCAGGCUGGCCUUGAACUCACUAUGGAGCCCAGGCUGGCCUCAAAUUUACGUGUGAUCCUCCUGCCUCAGCCUCCUGAGUAUAUGGGCCACCAUACCCAGCCUAGCCACCACACCCAGCCCAGUGCAUCCAAUUUUUAAAAACAAAAAUUACUGGAUUUAAAAGGACACCAAAGCAAUCAUAGGGGGGAGUUCAAUACCCCACUCUCAAAAUUAGGUUACCCAGGGGCUGGGGAUUUAGCUCAGUGGUUCUGCCGUCUGCCUCACAAGUGGAAGGACCCAAGUUCAAUACCCAGUACCAAAAAAAAAAAAAUUGUGUUACCCAGACAAAAAAAUCCACAAAGAAACAUCAGAGUUAAACCACACCAUUGAACAAAUGGACUUGAGAAAUAUCUGUAGAGUGUUUUAUCUAACAACAGCAGAAUACACAUAUUUCUCAAUAGCACAUGGAACUUUUUCCAAAAUAGACCAUAUCUAAAGCAUGCUUAAGUAAAGACUAAAGAAUUGAAAUAAUCCACUGCAUACUAUUGGAUCAUAGUGGAAUGAAGUUGGAAAUCAACAGUAAAAGAAGCCACAGAAAUUAUGCAAACAGCGUUUAGGCAAUAUGUUAUCGAAUAAUCAAUGGAUCACAGAAGAAAUCAGGGAGAACUAAAAUAGUUCCAAGAAUCAAAUGACAGUGGAAGCAUAACGUACCAAAACCUUUGGGACAUAAUGAAAGCAUUUCAAGAGGGGAGAUUAGAGCCAUAAAUGCACCCAUAAAAAGAACAGAGUGACCCCCCAAAUCAAUAACCUAAUGGUGUAUCUCAAUAACACCAGAAGACAAGAACAAUCCAAAUCUGAAACAAAUAGGAAAGAAAUAAUAAAGAUCAGAGCAAAGUUAAUGAAAUUGAAAUUAAAAAAACAAUACGGAUAAAUUUUUUUUUUUGGUACCAGGGAUUGAACUUGGGACUUUACGCUUGUGAGGCAGGUGGCAGAACCACUGAGCUAAAUCCCCAGCCCUAAAAGAACAAUACAAAGGAUCAGUGAACCACAGGACUGGUUCUUUGAAAGGAUGGGAAAGCGGACUUGGGGAGAGGGGAGCUGGGAGGAAGGGCAGGGGAAAUAAAAGGAUCAAGAUGUGAUGUGAAUGUACUGGUGUCCCCACAAUGAAUGUGUUCACUAGGUAUCACGGUGAUACAUUAAUAAAAAAUUGGAAAGAGGAUCCACACCCAUGGCUACCAAGUAGAGUGCCUCUGCCUAAAGCCCUUGGCCCUAAAUCAGUCUGUUCUGCCACCACCCUAACCCUGCGGCUUGGGACUGUCCCAGCUCAGCCCGAAGUGUGGUUCUUCAUGUCCCACACUCAGAUGAACCAAUAAGCCAGUGCCCAUUACUCCAUCAUCGCUAACUCUAACCACAGUACUUCAGUAUGUGAUUUCUUGCAGUGGAGACUGGCUCUCGUCACCAACUCCGUGUCCUUUCUCUCUCAUGCACAUGACGCACAUGUCCUAGUGUCCCUUGUGCCCAUGAUGAGUUGUAGCUGAGUUGUGAUGACACCAUUUCCGUCCUGGCCUACAAACCCCCAUGUAUGCUCCUCUCUCCUGUUCCCCAGACCGGAUGCCAAUGCCCGGGGGAGCUUGGAAGCCAGCACUGAAGGUGACAGGACCCUUGCUACCGCCACCAACAUGGGUCCCUAAUGGGCCCCACUCAGGAGCAUCUGCAGUGGGCUCCCAUAAGGGAGAAACAAACUUUUGUUACAGCAGCUACUGCCACCCCGAUCCAUCCUCACUUUGCAAAGGGGAUUAAAGAUCUUGCCCGAGAGUUACAAGCUGUCUGUUCAAUAACCCCUCGCUAGAUAGUAAACAUCCUUAGGAAGCUGCUCAAUGAUUUCUGCUGUGGUUCUAAAUGGCCCAGCCCCCUAGCAGGUGGGGGUGCAUCUGUGGUCUGCCAUAGGCCACAGUGCCACACUGGGCCCAAUGCCUGAUGUCUUGCUUUCUGCUCCGAUUCCCCCUCUUCUUGUCAAUCCAAGUGCAGACAAACAGUCCCACGCUCCGAGGCCAGAGUGUGGUGACUGUUUUUAGCAUUCUGUUGCUGAUGGCAAUCUCUGACUGUGGCUCUGUUUCCGGGCCUGUGGGUCCAGGAUUUCCAGGCUGAGCACCCGUGUGCUUAUGGGGUGAGGCACUUGGAGCAUUGAUGCACCCCCUGCGGAUAAGCCUUGGCAUGCACACGUCAGCACCUGCUGGAUCACGAGGCAGGUGGAGGCACCACUGAGCCAAAUCCCGGGCCCCAGGGCAUCUUUAAAAAGGGCUGAGUAGCGGUGGCACUGCGCGUGCUUUGUAAGCGCAAGGUCCUGAGUUCGAUCCCUGGUACCAAAAAAAAAAGGGCUGAGUGGGCAGGGAGGUUAAAUAUGUAAAAGCAAUUCCAGCCAGGUGUAGUGGUGCCUGGCUGUAAUCUCAGCAGUUGGGAGGCUGAGGCAGGAGGAUUGCCAUGAGUUCAAGGCCAGCCUGGGCUACAUAGGUUAGCCUGAACUUACAUAGCUGUCUCAAAAGAAAAAAAAAAAGGGCUGGGGAUUUAGCUGAGUGGUUUCGCCACCUGCUCCGCAAGCGCAAGGACUGGAGUUCAAUCCCCGGUACCAAAAAAAUAAAAUAAAAUAAUAAAUUCCAGAAGAUGAGCUCCAAGCACUGGAGUGGGUUAUAGAAGCAAGCUUGGAAACAUUCUGUAUUUUAAAAUUUACUUAAAAUCAUAAUAGUACAACAUGUUUGUUGCAAUUCAUUCAAACAAUUUAGAACGCUCAGGAAAAAUAUUAAAGUUCUGUCAUCAUCCAAAGUCUAUGCUCAGAUUUACCGUGGUCAGUAGCUUAUGUGCAUCUUAAGAGUCAUUAAAAAUAACCCGAGGUCUGCAGCUCCAUGCAGAGCCCAUCAGUGGAUGUGGCAGCAGCUAAUUAUAACCAAUGUUACUCAGGCCUUUCUGGGGGCCAGGUACUGACCUCAGCACUUUCUUCGUUUUCUCAUUGAGUCCUCUCACAAUGCCUUGGCUCAGUAGCAAGGACAAUUCCCUGGCAAGGAAAAUGAGGGGGAGAAGGCUUGAAGCGAGUGUCCCAGCCCACAUACACAGUGCAUGGCAGACCCCGACUGGAACUCCAGGACUUCGGCUGCAGGGUUCACACAGCGAUGACUCAGCUGUGCCACCUUUUAAUCAGCGAGUGACAAGGGUUGUACAAUGGGGAAUUGGAAACCGUGGCAUCCAAGUAUUGACCCCUCCACUUUCCUUCCUUCUCCAAACCUCUGUGAUUUCACCUGUGAAGUACGGCCAGCGGGACAGAUGUUGCUGGGGAUUGGUAUUAAUGAAUUGAUGAUUCUAAAGGGCUGUGUAAAUAACCCCAUUUAUCUAAAGAAUCAGCUUGCUUUCAUUUGUACUCCAUGCUGGUGGAGAAUAAAUUGUUCCUAAGAUUACUUUC